rnacentral:rRNA from 1 species
AUUGAACGCUGGCGGCAUGCCUUACACAUGCAAGUCGAACGGUAACAGGUUAAGCUGACGAGUGGCGAACGGGUGAGUAAUGUAUCGGAACGUGCCCAGUCGUGGGGGAUAACUACUCGAAAGAGUGGCUAAUACCGCAUACGACCUGAGGGUGAAAGCGGGGGACCGUAAGGCCUCGCGCGAUUGGAGCGGCCGAUAUCAGAUUAGCUAGUUGGUGGGGUAAAAGCCCACCAAGGCGACGAUCAGUAGCUGGUCUGAGAGGACGACCAGCCACACUGGGACUGAGACACGGCCCAGACUCCUACGGGAGGCAGCAGUGGGGAAUUUUGGACAAUGGACGCAAGUCUGAUCCAGCCAUGCCGCGUGCGGGAAGAAGGCCUUCGGGUUGUAAACCGCUUUUGUCAGGGAAGAAACGAGUUUCUCUAAUACAGAGACUUAAUGACGGUACCUGAAGAAUAAGCACCGGCUAACUACGUGCCAGCAGCCGCCGCUGUAA